UACGGGGGGGGCAAGCGUUGUUCGGAAUUACUGGGCGUAAAGGGCUCGUAGGCGGCCAACUAAGUCGGAUGUGAAAUCCCCAGGCUUAACCUGGGAACUGCAUCCGAUACUGGAUGGCUUGAAUCCGGGAGAGGGAUGCGGAAUUCCAGGUGUAGCGGUGAAAUGCGUAGAUAUCUGGAGGAACACCCGUGGCGAAAGCGGCUCUCUGGAACGGUACUGACGCUGAGACGCGAAAGCGUGGGGAGCGAACAGG
rnacentral:rRNA from 1 species